AGAGUUUGAUCAUGGCUCAGGAUGAACGCUGGCGGUGUGCCUAAUACAUGCAAGUCGAACAGGCUCUUCGGAGCUAGUGGCGGACGGGUGAGUAACACGUUGGUACCUACCCCUAAGUGGGGAAUAACUGCCCGAAAGGGUGGCUAAUACCGCAUAAUCCCGCAAGGGUAAAGCAGUAAUGCGCUUAGGGAGGGGCCUGCGUCUGAUUAGCUAGUUGGUAGUGUAAUGGACUACCAAGGCGACGAUCAGUAGCUGGAUCGAGAGGUUGACCAGCCACACUGGGACUGAGAUACGGCCCAGACUCCUACGGGAGGCAGCAGUAAGGAAUCUUCCACAAUGGACGAAAGUCUGAUGGAGCAACACCGCGUGCAGGAUGACGGCCUUCGGGUUGUAAACUGCUUUUAUAUAGGAAGAUUAUGACGGUACUAUAUGAAUAAGGACCGGCUAACUACGUGCCAGCAGCCGCGGUAAUACGUAGGGUCCAAGCGUUAUCCGGAAUCACUGGGCGUAAAGCGUGCGUAGGUGGCGUGUUAAGUGUGGUGUUAAAUCGUGGGGCUCAACCCUAUCGAUGCAUCGCAUACUGGCAUGCUAGAGGGAAGCAGAGGCAAGUGGAAUUUGUAGUGUAGCAGUGAAAUGCGUAGAUAUUACAAGGAACACCAAUGGCGAAGGCGCUUGCUGGGCUUCUUCUGACACUGAGGUACGAAAGCGUGGGGAGCGAACAGGAUUAGAUACCCUAGUAGUCC
rnacentral:rRNA from 1 species